GGCUUCGUAGUUUAGCUGGUAGAGUGCCUGACGCGUUUGGGCAUGGUGUCUCCGUCGCUGGUUUGAAUCCAGCCGAAGCCC